GCCGAACCGUGCGAACGUUGUUCGGAAUCACUGGGCUUAAAGGGCGCGUAGGCGGGCGAUCAAGUCCGGGGUGAAAUCCUCCAGCUCAACUGGAGAACUGCCUUGGAUACUGGUCGUCUCGAGUGAGGUAGGGGCAUGCGGAACUGGUGGUGGAGCGGUGAAAUGCGUUGAUAUCAUCAGGAACUCCGGUGGCGAAGGCGGCAUGCUGGACCUCAACUGACGCUGAGGCGCGAAAGCUAGGGGCGCCAACGGG
rnacentral:rRNA from 1 species